rnacentral:rRNA from 1 species
UACGUAGGGUGCAAGCGUUAAUCGGAAUUACUGGGCGUAAAGCGUGCGCAGGCGGUUUUGUAAGUUUGUCGUGAAAGCCCCGGGCUCAACCUGGGAAUGGCGAUGAAGACUGCAAGGCUUGAAUCUGGCAGAGGGGGGUAGAAUUCCACGUGUAGCAGUGAAAUGCGUAGAGAUGUGGAGGAACACCGAUGGCGAAGGCCGCCCCCUGGGUCAAGAUUGACGCUCAUGCACGAAAGCGUGGGGAGCAAACAGG